UGUUAACAGGUGUGACGCAGGAAGGUAGCCGAGCCAGGCGAUGGUUGUCCUGGUCUAAGCAUGUAGGGUGACCCGUUGGUAAAUCCGCGGGUUGUGUGCCUGAGAUGUGAUGGGACUCUCUUAGGUGAGGGAAUUCGGUGAUCCUAUGCUGCCAAG
rnacentral:rRNA from 13 species